UCGUAACAAGGUUUCCGUAGGUGAACCUGCGGAAGGAUCAUUAACGAAGAACUUGCCUUCUUCAUACACCUGUGAACCGUCGUCCGAGUGUCAUGCUCGGACGCUAUACAUAACUCUAGUGCUGUCAUUGAAUGUCAUUGUUUUCGAACACAAAUAUAACUUUCAGCAACGGAUCUCUUGGCUCUCGCAUCGAUGAAGAACGCAGCGAAAUGCGAUAAGUAAUGUGAAUUGCAGAAUUCAGUGAAUCAUCGAAUCUUUGAACGCACCUUGCGCUCUCUGGUACCCCGGAGAGCAUGCCUGUUUGAGCGCCUUUUCAGCGUUGUGCGCUUCCGCUUCGGCGGAGCGCGCAGAGUUGGGCAUUGCCGAGCGUCCGCGCGCGGCUGGCCCUGAAUGCAUGAGCGACCGUCCGCUUGAGCUAACGUGAUAAGAUCGUCGUUAGUGAAGGCGCGUGCAGCCGCUUCAAAUCGUCUUCGGACAACACCAUCAUGCUAGGCAUCAAAUCAGGUAGGACUACCCGCUGAACUUAAGCAUAUCAAUA
rnacentral:sRNA from 1 species